rnacentral:sRNA from 1 species
GGAAGACAGUGACCCGCCCAUUCAUGAAAGUCUCAGCAUAGAAAAUACAUUGUGGGCAAGCACCAUUGUUGCAUCAGGUACUGUAAUAGGUGUUGUCAUUUAUACCGGAAAAGAGACUCGAAGUGUAAUGAACACAUCCAAUCCAAAAAAUAAGGUUGGUUUGUUGGACCUUGAACUCAAUCGGCUGACGAAAGCGCUAUUUUUGGCUUUAGUUGCUCUUUCCAUUGUUAUGGUAACCUUACAAGGAUUUGUGGGUCCAUGGUACCGCAAUCUUUUUCGGUUCCUUCUCCUCUUUUCUUACAUCAUUCCCAUAAGUUUGCGUGUGAACUUGGACAUGGGCAAAGCGGUGUAUGGAUGGAUGAUGAUGAAAGAUGAGAACAUCCCUGGCACGGUCGUUCGGACCAGCACUAUCCCAGAAGAACUUGGGCGCCUGGUGUAUUUAUUGACAGACAAAACAGGUACUGUUCGUGGUCUGUGUUCACCUUUGAAUGGACAAAAUGACAUUUAAUAAAAAAUAGCAUAGCGU